CCUACGGGAGGCAGCAGUGAGGAAUAUUGGUCAAUGGACGAGAGUCUGAACCAGCCAAGUAGCGUGAAGGAUGACUGCCCUAUGGGUUGUAAACUUCUUUUAUAUGGGAAUAAAAUGUUCCACGUGUGGGAUUUUGUAUGUACCAUAUGAAUAAGGAUCGGCUAACUCCGUGCCAGCAGCCGCGGUAAUACGGAGGAUCCGAGCGUUAUCCAGAUUUAUUGGGUUUAAAGGGAGCGUAGGUGGAUUGUUAAGUCAGUUGUGAAAGUUUGCGGCUCAACCGUAAAAUUGCAGUUGAAACUGGCAGUCUUGAGUACAGUAGAGGUGGGCGGAAUUCGUGGUGUAGCGGUGAAAUGCUUAGAUAUCACGAAGAACUCCGAUUGCGAAGGCAGUUCACUGGACUGCAACUGACACUGAGGCUCGAAAGUGUGGGUAUCAAACAGGAUUAGAUACCCGUGUAGUC
rnacentral:rRNA from 1 species